rnacentral:rRNA from 1 species
AAUGAACGCUGGCGGCAUGCCUAACACAUGCAAGUCGAACGGCAGCACAGUAAGAGCUUGCUCUUACGGGUGGCGAGUGGCGGACGGGUGACGAAUACAUCGGAAUCUACUUUUUCGUGGGUGAUAACGUAGGGAAACUUACUCUAAUACCGCAUACGACCUACGGGUGAAAGCAGGGGAUCUUCGGACCUUUCGCGAUUGAAUGAGCCGAUGUCGGAUUAGCUAGUUGGCGGGGUAAAGGCCCACCAAGGCGACGAUCCGUAGCUGGUCUGAGAGGAUGAUCAGCCACACGGGAAGUGAGACAGGGUCCAGACUCCUACGGGAGGCCGCAGUCGGGAAUAUUGGGCAAUGGGGGCAAGCCUGAUACAGCAAUACCGCGUGGGUGAAGAAGGCCUUCGGGUUGUAAAGCCCUUUUGUUGGGAGAGAAAAGCAGCAGGUUAAUACGGCGCGGUACUGACGGUACCGAAAGAAUAAGCACCGGCUAACUUCGUG